GAUGAACGCUGGCGGCGUGCCUAAUACAUGCAAGUCGAGCGAACAGACGAGGAGCUUGCUCCUCUGACGUUAGCGGCGGACGGGUGAGUAACACGUGGAUAACCUACCUAUAAGGCUGGGAUAACUUCGGGAAACCGGAGCUAAUACCGGAUAAUAUAUUGAACCGCAUGGUUCAAUAGUGAAAGACGGUUUUGCUGUCACUUAUAGAUGGAUCCGCGCCGCAUUAGCUAGUUGGUAAGGUAACGGCUUACCAAGGCAACGAUGCGUAGCCGACCUGAGAGGGUGAUCGGCCACACUGGAACUGAGACACGGUCCAGACUCCUACGGGAGGCAGCAGUAGGGAAUCUUACGCAAUGGGCGAAAGCUUGACGGAGCAACGCCGCGUGAGUGAUGAAGGUCUUCGGAUCGUAAAACUCUGUUAUUAGGGAAGAACAAAUGUGUAAGUAACUAUGCACGUCUUGACGGUACCUAAUCAGAAAGCCACGGCUAACUACGUG
rnacentral:rRNA from 1 species